ACAAACACAACUGACAACAACACACCUGACCACAAACACACAAUCCACACCUGACCACAAACUGUACCUGCAACAUGAGUCUGAGGGGGAGGAAACUUGUGCUGAGCUGCUAACAUAAGGAUAUUUCAUUUCUUUAUUUUUAUUACAAUCAAUACAACUUAUUUAUUUAUUCUCUGAUAUUUUGAAACAAAAUAAAGAAUGAGGCCUCACACAGCCAAAAUUAAAUAAUCUUCACUUUUGAUUGAUUUGAUUGAUUUAUCCAAGAUUGGACAAAAUCUAGGCUUAAUCCUUGAUCUUAGUCUCCUGCAGCGGGCCUCAGGUGYUCACUUCUGAAACACUAACAUCACUCACUGAACCAACGUAAAAACAUUUGAUAUUUUAUAUAAAACUUGAUUUGUUCCAAGUUUAAAUCAGUUUCAGACAUGAUGCUGCCACAGAAAAACUAAAACUCAGGACUUUUAGAUUAAAGCAGCAAAAAGAAGCAACUGAAACUCUGAUUAUAUGCGGAGAAGCUGAUUAAAGCAGGUGUGUUCAUUAGAGAGCAAGUGUGUUAAUUUGUAACUGAGAGCAGGUGUGUUAGAGAACAGGUGUGUUUGUUAGUAUCUGACUGCAGGUGUGUUAAUUAAAGAGCAAGCGUGUUAAUUAGUAACUGAGUGCAGGUGUGUUAAUUAGUAACUGAGUGCAGGUGUGUUAAUUAGUAACUGAGCGCCGGUGUGUUAAUUAGUAACUGAGUGCCGGUGUGUUAAUUAGUAUCUGACUGCAGGUGUGUUAAUUAAAGAGCAGGUGUGUUAAUUAGUAACUGAGAGCAGGUGUGUUAAUUAGUAACUGAGAGCAGGUGUGUUAAUUAGUAACUGAGUGCAGGUGUGUUAAUUAGUAACUGAGUGCAGGUGUGUUAAUUAGUAACUGAGAGCCGGUGUGUUAAUUAGCAACAGAGUGCAGGUGUGUUAAAUAAUAACUGAGAACCAGUGUGUUAAUUAGUAACAGAGCAGGUGUGUUAAUAAGUAACUGAGUGCAGGUGUUUUAAGUUGUAACUGAGAGCAGGUGUGUUAAUAACUAAUUGAGAGCAGGUGGUUUAGUUAGUAACUGAGAGCAGGCGUUUUAAGUUGUAACUGAGUGCAGGUGUUUUAAUUACUAAUUGAGAGCAGGUGUGUUAAUUAGUAACUGAGAGCAGGUGUGUAAAUUACAAACUGA